rnacentral:tRNA from 2 species
GGGGUAUAGCUCAGCUGGGAGAGUGUUUGACUGGCAGUCAAAAGGUCACGGGUUCGAGCCCCGUUAUCUCC